CAGAGUUCAGGCCCCUCGGGGCAGAUCUCCCACCCUUGUGUAUUUAUACCUCUGUUGCUUUGGCAGGCCGCUGGGUUUCGACCUGGCCACCGGCUCUGGGGCUGGUGUGCGCCUGCCAGAGGACCCCCAAACUCUGGUUAUCAGUGUCGUCUGAGUAUUAUACAAUUGUUA
rnacentral:misc_RNA from 1 species